AUAGGGGAGCCGGAGGGAAACCGAGUCUUAAUCGGGCGUUAAGUUGCAGGGUAUAGACCCGAAACCCGGUGAUCUAGCCAUGGGCAGGUUGAAGGUUGGGUAACACUAACUGGAGGACCGAACCGACUAAUGUUGAAAAAUUAGCGGAUGACCUGUGGCUGGGGGUGAAAGGCCAAUCAAACCGGGAGAUAGCUGGUUCUCCCCGAAAGCUAUUUAGGUAGCGCCUCGUGAAUUCAUCUCCGGGGGUAGAGCACUGUUUCGGCUAGGGGGCCAUCCCGGCUUACCAACCCGAUGCAAACUGCGAAUACCGGAGAAUGUUAUCACGGGAGACACACGGCGGGUGCUAACGUCCGUCGUGAAGAGGGAAACAACCCAGACCGCCAGCUAAGGUCCCAAAGUCAUGGUUAAGUGGGAAACGAUGUGGGAAGGCCCAGACAGCCAGGAUGUUGGCUUAGAAGCAGCCAUCAUUUAAAGAAAGCGUAAUAGCUCACUGGUCGAGUCGGCCUGCGCGGAAGAUGUAACGGGGCUAAACCAUGCACCGAAGCUGCGGCAGCGA
rnacentral:rRNA from 1 species